UGCAUCCAUGGUCCCAACCUGUAGGGC
rnacentral:piRNA from 1 species